CCUACGGGAGGCAGCAGUGGGGAAUAUUGGACAGUGGGGGGAACCCUGAUCCAGCCAUGCCGCGUGUGUGAAGAAGGCCCUCGGGUUGUAAAGCACUUUCAGUGAGGAAGAACGCCUGGUGGUUAAUACCCAUCAGGAAAGACAUCACUCACAGAAGAAGCACCGGCUAACUCCGUGCCAGCAGCCGCGGUAAUACGGAGGGUGCGAGCGUUAAUCGGAAUUACUGGGCGUAAAGCGCGCGUAGGUGGCUUGAUAAGCCGGUUGUGAAAGCCCCGGGCUCAACCUGGGAACGGCAUCCGGAACUGUCAAGCUAGAGUGCAGGAGAGGAAGGUAGAAUUCCCGGUGUAGCGGUGAAAUGCGUAGAGAUCGGGAGGAAUACCAGUGGCGAAGGCGGCCUUCUGGACUGACACUGACACUGAGGUGCGAAAGCGUGGGUAGCAAACAGGAUUAGAUACCCGUGUAGUC
rnacentral:rRNA from 1 species